ACCGUCCAGGCAUUUGAGCCGGUGGAAAUCAGAAAGGACGUCGAAUGUAAUGAACCGUUGGACGCCGUUAAAUGCUUACCAUCUCAAUGAUUUCCAGAACAUUGAAACCCCCUAUAUGGGGUACCUAUAUGGGGUAAACGACAUUUACAUUUUCACGGACCACCAACAGUUAACUUUUGCCAUUUCUGAGUCAAACCCGAACGCCAAAAUUAAAAGAUGGAUGACGCGCAUUGAGGAAACGAAUGCGCGAAUAUUUUAUAAGCCAGGCAAGGAGAAUUUAGUCGCUGAUGCGCUAUCGCAACAAAAGCUCAAUGCUCUUGACGAGCUGAAUACUAAUUCCUGCGCAGCCACAGUCCACAGCGAGCUGUCCUUGACCUAUACAAUUGAAACAACCAAAAAAUUGUUUCCAAAAUCAAAUGUUCAUUGAACAGGCACGCGUCCCCAACAAACGCAACUUCAUUCUUUUCGGAGAGAGGCGUCGUGAAGUGAGCUUCGCUGAUCGCACAGCUUUUCUAGAUAAACUCCUUGACUUGAUUAAUCCAAAUGCGGUUAAUGACCUCUAUUGCAACCUGCAUACAUUAUCACAGUUGAGCGUGGCUUAGUUCGCAUGUUUCCAGGCACAAAGUUCUGGCACUGCAAAAACCGAGUUGCAGAUGUCUUCAACGUUGACGAGAGGAGAGAAAUUCUCGUUGCCGAACAUACUAGAGCGCAUAGAGCAGGUCAAGAAAAUGUUAAGCAAGUGUUAUCAGAAUACUAUUUCCCUAAAAUGGCUAAGUUGGCUAAAGAAAUUGCGGAAAGUUGUAGAAUCUGCUAAUCAGUCAAAUACGAUAGGCACCAGAAAAGACAGGAGCUGGUAGAAACUUCGAUCCAUGAGACUCCUGGGGAAUUUCUACACAUUGAUAUAUUUCCCACGGACAAACAAUUUUUUUUGUCCUGUGUUGAUGACGAUGUUUGGUUAAGUAACCAUCAGAGACAACACCGACUGCGUGCAGUAACAGCAGAAGACAACAAUCAUACUUGCAAACUAGAGCAAAUAUUGUUUGGGAGCUGUUUGUAAGCUGCUGCCCAUUCUAUUUCGUAGGCCCUUUGCCUUCUGCACGAAUGCCCGCUGCCCACCGUUUUGAGCGCAGCUCCAUUUCGUUACAAGUCAUUAGUUUUUCAUUUGAUCGCAACCGAGGCACAACUAUUUCGAGUUGGCAAACAAUAUUAACAAUAAUUGCUAAUAAGUGUAAGUCGAAACACGAGGGAAGCGCAUGAGCCGCAAGCGGCCGUUGUGAAAAGCACACAAUAGCUUAGCACAAGCCCAACAAAAAGGCAUUUGAUAGCGACUUGUCACCAAGCAAGCGGGUUUGGGCAGCGAAGUAAGCCAACACCCAUAGACUUCAGCGAGGGAUCAUAAGAAAGCAUUCACGUCUGCAGCGUGGGAAGCAGUAGUUUUUAGACGUAGAGCAUACUGCCCUUGUAGGAUCAAAAAAAUCACAAGCCCAACAAAAAGGCAUUUGAUAGCGACUUGUCACCAAGCAAGCGGGUUUGGGCAGCGAAGUAAGCCAACACCCAUAGACUUCAGCGAGGGAUCAUAAGAAAGCAUUCACGUCUGCAGCGUGGGAAGCAGUAGUUUUUAGACGUAGAGCAUACUGCCCUUGUAGGAUCAAAAAAAUGUAAGUGGCCCAUCAUUUGGCACAAACUUUUUUCAAUAUGAUUGAUUUAUUUCAAAUAAAAUCCAAAGUCUGAAAUAUAAAAAAUUGCAGUAAUUGUGCUACCAACUAAUUUUGAGUAACACAAUUUUGCAUCCAUCAGCAAUUUUCAAUAAAC